rnacentral:lncRNA from 1 species
GCUUGAUGUGAGAAUUACUUGACACACAAAUUAAACCCACUUUUUGACAAUUGUAGUAUAGAUGUAAGUAGGGUAUCGUUCUAGGCCGUGGAUUAAGAGGGAUUGCUAAUCUAUUCUAAAUUAAUUUAAAAAUAUUAAACAAGACUCAAGGACACAAAACUAGGCUAAAAACUCUAAUAACUCGAAACACACUUAGAAUGACUCAAAAUAAUGAAAACAAUCAAAUUAGACACUAGGCACUGAAAUGGACGGAAAUUGAAUUAAAAGACUAACAACAAUGAAAACUAACUAAAUAAUAUAAUUUAAUAAUGGGGGGGGGUUUGGUUUUGACGAGAAGUAAAUUAAACUUAAAUAAAUUACAGAGUUGACAAAAGCAUGAAAUUAAGGUGAAAGGAUAGGUGACGGACUAGCUAGAGGGUU